UACGUAGGGGGCAAGCGUUGUUCGGAUUCAUUGGGCGUAAAGGGUGCGUAGGUGGCGCUGUAAGUCGGGUGUGAAAUCCUGAGGCUUAACCUCGGAACUGCAUUCGAUACUGCGGCGCUUGAGGACUGGAGAGGAGACUGGAAUUCAUGGUGUAGCAGUGAAAUGCGUAGAGAUCAUGAGGAAGACCAGUGGCGAAGGCGGGUCUCUGGACAGUUCCUGACACUGAGGCACGAAGGCCAGGGGAGCAAACGGG
rnacentral:rRNA from 1 species